AUUAUUUUUCAGACUGUGGUAAUUUAUAAAGGUCACGGAAAAGACGUUACAUUUUUAAUAAAAAAUUUAAGUGGUUUUAAAGCUGUUUUCAGAAUGUCUUCAAAACGCAAAAUUAUAUGUUGUACGCAAUAUUAAAUUUAUACGCGCAAAAGAUUUCAUGAUUGAUUUGGCUGAGAAUAUGGUAGAAUACGGAAAAGAUAUAACGGAAAACAAAAGAAGACCUGUGAAUCCAAUGCCACCUACUGAAGGUGUGGUGGGUAACCAUUUACCCAUCCAAACCGAUAAUAGGAGACGUUGCAUUUCGUGCACAAAAAAAAAAGUAGUGCGUGUAAUAGCUUUUUAUGUAAAAACUGUUUUGCAUCAUUUCACCUUUCCUGAUGCCCAUUUCUUCUCUAAGUAUUUUGCCCUCUGCUCUCGUUUUAUUUUUUCAUUUAUAUAAUUUUUUAUUGCCUUAAAAUACUAAGCAGACAUGAUGUUUUUUGAUAACAUUCAAUAAAUAGUAAAUAUAG